AUGGUUGUCGUCAGCUCGUGUCGUGAGAUGUUGGGUUAAGUCCCGCAACGAGCGCAACCCUUGAUAUUAGUUGCCAUCAUUUAGUUGGGCACUCUAAGGUGACUGCCGGUGACAAACCGGAGGAAGGUGGGGAUGACGUCAAAUCAUCAUGCCCCUUAUGACCUGGGCUACACACGUGCUACAAUGGGCGGUACAACGGGAAGCGAAGCCGCGAGGGGGAGCCAAUCCUAUAAAGUCGUUCUCAGUUCGGAUUGCAGGCUGCAACUCGCCUACAUGAAGUCGGAAUCGCUAGUAAUCGCGGAUCAGCAUGCCGCGGUGAAUACGUUCCCGGGUCCU
rnacentral:rRNA from 1 species